CAAGAUUCUAAAUUCAUACAGACUAGCUAUGCCUUCCAACUGAAUAAAUAUCAGACUUGAGGGCAUAUAUGAGGAGGGUGUGGCAGAAUUCACUUUUGUCCGUCAAAUUCACUAUUAACAUUGGUUAUAAAAUACGCAAAAGUAAGUCUUUACGAGUUUAGUAAAAGCUGAAACUGAUAGUUCUACAGUUUUCCUACUUUCUAGAAUUCUCUGUUUCUGCAAACUUUAACUUAAAAUUACAUUGAAAACAUUGGUUAAAUUCGUUUGUUUACAUUUAUUUCUAAGCAUAAAGUUUUUGGAUUUAUGCAUCUUAUCUAUGUUUAUGUACUCCUUUAUCAGUAGAUUUUAUAUUGACAGAUAGAUUGAGUAUAUAGUUGUUUACAUGUUUAAUCGCGUGGUGAAGCUUCUAGCAAAAUAAAACAUCGAGCGUUUAUUAAUAGUGAAUAGAAAUUAGGCAUAAGAACAACUGAGGCAUUGCACAACUUAUAAAUGUCUACGCGGAAGCUCAUCACGAACUUUUGGUAUUAGUUAUUCGUUACGCUAGUAUUAUACUCUCUUUUCCAUGUUUAUUUCUUUCGCUUGAAGAGUGGAUUAUACACACAUUGUAUCCACUUAUUUGCACAGGAAGUAUUACAAGUGGACCUUUUCAGGUUCGGUCAGUAAGUUUUAACGCAUGCUAUCUUGCAUUUUAAACAACUUUCCCUUUAACAGAAUCACAUAUUGUACGAACUUAUGGGCCUAAAAAUAUACUUAUUUUCUGUCAUAAGUCGUCCAGUAUAAGAUAAUAUAGCAUCAUAAUAAAAACUCAACUGUGGCACA